UUUUGCUGAAUGAAUCCCUAGCCUUGGCCAUGAGAACUCUGCUGACAUGACUUUGGCUCCUUUCUUCUGAGAACUGUUAAUCAUGGUUUCUACUGCUUCACUCUCGUGGUCGUAAACAGUCAGAAGUUUUUUACUAGAAUGGAAAGGGUAAGACUCUGCUACAAGUUUGAAAGCUGAUGUCCUGUUUGCUGUGAAAACCAUAGAAUAAUCAUCUUCAGAUAUAUUCAGAAAAUUCAUGAUCCGGUUCCUUAUUGCAGAUUCUAUUUCCGAUUCUUGGCCACCAUGAAGAAGCUGUGUCUUCAUGUUUCCUGUCUUGUAGGACACACUGAAGAAGGGAAAAUAUGAAAUUUGUGGAGGUGAAUGUUGAGAAGAAGAAGAAGAAACAAUUUGCUUUCUGGAGUCAUGUUUUUGAAGCUGGGAAUAGGAGAAGAGACCGAUGCCAAUAUAGUCAAGGCAGGUAUGGUGGG
rnacentral:lncRNA from 1 species